GCUAUCGGGAUGGUUUAGAGCGCUGCUUUGACAGAGCAGAGGUCAUGGGUUCGAAUCCCUUAGGCCCCA
rnacentral:tRNA from 1 species